rnacentral:rRNA from 1 species
CGGUGUUCAACUGGCGUGUCCGCGGGACGUCCUGCCGGUGGGCUUAGCCCGCAAGGGCGGCCCAACUUCAAAUCCCAUCGCGGUGCUCUUCACUGAGUGUCGAGGUGGGCCGGCACGUUUACUUUGAACAAAUUAGAGUGCUUAAAGCAGGCUAAAACUUCGCCUGAAUACUGUGUGCAUGGAAUAAUGGAAUAGGACCUCGGUUCUAUUUUGUUGGUUUUCGGAACCCCGAGGUAAUGAUUAAUAGGAACGGAUGGGGGCAUUCGUAUUGCGACGUUAGAGGUGAAAUUCUUGGAUCGUCGCAAGACGGACAGAAGCGAAAGCAUUUGCCAAAAACGCUUUCAUUGAUCAAGAACGAAAGUUAGAGGUUCGAAGGCGAUCAGAUACCGCCCUAGUUCUAACCAUAAACGAUGCCAGCUAGCGAUCCGUCGACGUUCCUCCGAUGACUCGACGGGCAGCUUCCGGGAAACCAAAGCUUUUGGGUUCCGGGGGAAGUACGGUUGCAAAGCUGAAACUUAAAGGAAUUGACGGAAGGGCACCACCAGGAGUGGAGCCUGCGGCUUAAUUUGACUCAACACGGGAAACCUCACCAGGCCCGGACACCGGAAGGAUUGACAGAUUGAGAGCUCUUUCUUGAUUCGGUGGGUGGUGGUGCAUGGCCGUUCUUAGUUGGUGGAGCGAUUUGUCUGGUUAAUUCCGAUAACGAACGAGACUCUAGCCUGCUAACUAGGCGUAUUUUCGACAUCUCAAAGGUCCGUCGUCCCGGCCCUCGGGUCGUGGGCGUGCGCGAUUUUUACUGUCGGCGUACUAUCAAUUCUUCUUAGAGGGACAGGUGGCUUCUAGCCGCACGAGAUUGAGCAAUAACAGGUCUGUGAUG